UACGUAGGGUGCGAGCGUUGUCCGGAAUUAUUGGGCGUAAAGAGCUCGUAGGCGGUUUGUCGCGUCGGCCGUGAAAUCUCCACGCUUAACGUGGAGCGUGCGGUCGAUACGGGCAGACUUGAGUUCGGUAGGGGAAACUGGAAUUCCUGGUGUAGCGGUGAAAUGCGCAGAUAUCAGGAGGAACACCGGUGGCGAAGGCGGGUCUCU
rnacentral:rRNA from 1 species